rnacentral:rRNA from 1 species
UAGGGAAUCUUCGGCAAUGGACGAAAGUCUGACCGAGCAACGCCGCGUGAGUGAAGAAGGUUUUCGGAUCGUAAAACUCUGUUGUUAGAGAAGAACAAGGACGUUAGUAACUGAACGUCCUCUGACGGUAUCUAACCAGAAAGCCACGGCUAACUACGUGCCAGCAGCCGCGGUAAUACGUAGGUGGCAAGCGUUGUCCGGAUUUAUUGGGCGUAAAGCGAGCGCAGGCGGUUUCUUAAGUCUGAUGUGAAGGCCCCCGGCUCAACCGGGGAGGGUCAUUGGAAACUGGGAGACUUGAGUGGAGAAGAGGGGAGGGGAAUUCAAUGUGUAGCGGUGAAAUGCGUAGAUAUAGGGAGGAAAACGAGUGGGGAAGGCGGCUCUCUGGUCUGUAACUGACGCUGAGGCUCGAAAGCGUGGGGAGCAAACAGG